UACGUAGGGGGCAAGCGUUGUCCGGAAUCAUUGGGCGUAAAGAGCGCGUAGGCGGCCCAGUAAGUCCGCUCUGAAAGUCAGGGGCUCAACCCCUGGAUGCGGGUGGAUACUGCUGGGCUAGAGUCCGGAAGAGGCGAGUGGAACUCCGAGUGUAGAGGUGAAAUUCGUAGAUAUUCGGAAGAACACCAGUGGCGAAGGCGGCUCACUGGCCCGGUACUGACGCUGAGGUGCGAAAGCGUGGGGAGCAAACAGG
rnacentral:rRNA from 1 species